rnacentral:rRNA from 1 species
AUUGAACGCUGGCGGCAGGCCUAACACAUGCAAGUCGAGCGGAUGAAGGGAGCUUGCUCCUGGAUUCAGCGGCGGACGGGUGAGUAAUGCCUAGGAAUCUGCCUGGUAGUGGGGGAUAACGUCCGGAAACGGGCGCUAAUACCGCAUACGUCUUGAGGGAGAAAGUGGGGGAUCUUCGGACCUCACGCUAUCAGAUGAGCCUAGGUCGGAUUAGCUAGUUGGUGGGGUAAAGGCCUACCAAGGCGACGAUCCGUAACUGGUCUGAGAGGAUGAUCAGUCACACUGGAACUGAGACACGGUCCAGACUCCUACGGGAGGCAGCAGUGGGGAAUAUUGGACAAUGGGCGAAAGCCUGAUCCAGCCAUGCCGCGUGUGUGAAGAAGGUCUUCGGAUUGUAAAGCACUUUAAGUUGGGAGGAAGGGCAGUAAGUUAAUACCUUGCUGUUUGGACGUUACCAACAGAAUAAGCACCGGCUAACUUCGU